rnacentral:rRNA from 1 species
CCUACGGGUGGCAGCAGUGAGGAAUAUUGGUCAAUGGACGAGAGUCUGAACCAGCCAAGUAGCGUGAAGGAUGACUGCCCUAUGGGUCGUAAACUUCUUUUAUCUGGGAACAAAACAGGGGAUUCAUACCCUCUUGUAUGUACCUUAUGAAUAAGGAUCGGCUAACUCCGUGCCAGCAGCCGCGGUAAUACGGAGGAUCCGAGCGUUAUCCGGAUUUAUUGGGUUUAAAGGGUGCGUAGGUGGAUUGUUAAGUCAGUUGUGAAAGUUUGCGGCUCAACCGUAAAAUUGCAGUUGAAACUGGCAGGCUUGAGUACAGUAGAGGUGGGCGGAAUUCGUGGUGUAGCGGUGAAAUGCUUAGAUAUCGCGAAGAACUCCGAUUGCGAAGGCAGCUCACUGGACUGCAACUGACACUGAUGCUCGAAAGUGUGGGUAUCAAACAGGAUUAGAUACCCGAGUAGUC